rnacentral:rRNA from 1 species
GACGAACGCUGGCGGCGUGCUUAACACAUGCAAGUCGAGCGAUGAAAUUCUGACGGAGACUUCGGUCAACUGAAGGAUGGAUUAGUGGCGGACGGGUGAGUAACGCGUGAGUAACCUGCCUCUCAGAGUGGAAUAACAUUUGGAAACGAAUGGUAAUACCGCAUAACGUCAUGGGACCGCAUGAUCCUGUGACCAAAGGAGCAAUCCGCUGAGAGAUGGACUCGCGUCCGAUUAGCUAGUUGGAGAGGUAACGGCUCCCCAAGGCGACGAUCGGUAGCCGGACUGAGAGGUUGAACGGCCACAUUGGGACUGAGACACGGCCCAGACUCCUACGGAGGCAGCAGUGGGAAUAUUGCACAAUGGGGGAAACCCUGAUGCAGCAACGCCGCGUGAAGGAAGACGGUCUUCGGAUUGAAACUUUGUCUUAGUGAAGAAGAAUGACGGUAGCUAAGGNGAAAGCCAACGGCUAACUACGUGCCAGCAG